rnacentral:rRNA from 1 species
UACGAGGGGGGCGAGCGUUGUUCGGAAUUAUUGGGCGUAAAGGGUGCGUAGGCGGUUCCGCAAGUCCUGUGUGAAAUCUUCGGGCUCAACUCGAAGUCUGCACGGGAAACUGCGGGGCUUGAGUGUGGGAGAGGUGAGUGGAAUUCCUGGUGUAGCGGUGAAAUUCGUAGAUAUUGGGAAGAACACCGGUGGCGAAGGCGGCUCACUGGCUCGUUCCUGACGCUCAGGCGCGAUAGCGUGGGGGAUCAAACAGG